rnacentral:rRNA from 14 species
UUAAAUUGAAGAGUUUGAUCAUGGCUCAGAUUGAACGCUGGCGGCAGGCCUAACACAUGCAAGUCGAACGGUAACAGGAAGCAGCUUGCUGCUUCGCUGACGAGU